UACGUAGGGUGCAAGCGUUGUCCGGAAUUAUUGGGCGUAAAGAGCUCGUAGGCGGUCUGUCGCGUCGGCUGUGAAAUCCCGAGGCUCAACCUCGGGUCUGCAGUCGAUACGGGCAAACUGGAGUGUUGCAGGGGAGACUGGAAUUCCUGGUGUAGCGGUGAAAUGCGCAGAUAUCAGGAGGAACACCGGUGGCGAAGGCGGUUCUCUGGGCAUGACCUGACGCUGAGGAGCGAAAGUGUGGGGAGCGAACAGG
rnacentral:rRNA from 1 species